rnacentral:ncRNA from 1 species
GCUGCCCCCGUGCCUCGCUGACAGCCGUCAGCAGCAUCCCAGGUAGCCACGAUCUUCAAGGCUACGGCGCGGUUCCACCGCGUUGAUCACCCAGCUCGCACCGCAUCCGUCCGCGAGCGGCCACCAGUCUCUGGUGGCGGAUG